UACGAAGGGGGCUAGCGUUGCUCGGAAUUACUGGGCGUAAAGGGCGCGUAGGCGGCACUGUUAGUCAGGCGUGAAAGUCCUGGGCUCAACCUGGGAACUGCGCUUGAUACGGCAGAGCUAGAGGAUGGAAGAGGGUCGCGGAAUUCCCAGUGUAGAGGUGAAAUUCGUAGAUAUCGGGAGGAACACCUGUGGCGAAAGCGGCGCACUGGACCACAUCUGACGCUGAGGCGCGAAAGCUAGGGGAGCAAACAG
rnacentral:rRNA from 1 species